GCUGGGCGUGGUGGCUCACGCCUGUAAUCCCGACACUGGGAGGCUGAGGCAGGCAGAUUGCUUGAGCCCAGGAGUUUGAGACAGCCUGGGCAACAUGGCAAAACCCUGUCUCUA
ensembl:misc_RNA Metazoa_SRP Metazoan signal recognition particle RNA